GAUGAACGCUGGCGGCGUGCCUAAUACAUGCAAGUCGAGCGAACGGACGAGGAGCUUGCUUCUCUGAUGUUAGCGGCGGACGGGUGAGUAACACGUGGAUAACCUACCUAUAAGACUGGGAUAUCUUCGGGAAACCGGAGCUAAUACCGGAUAAUAUUUUGAACCGCAUGGUUCAAAAGUGAAAGACGGUCUUGCUGUCACUUAUAGAUGGAUCCGCGCUGCAUUAGCUAGUUGGUAAGGUAACGGCUUACCAAGGCAACGAUGCAUAGCCGACCUGAGAGGGGGAUCGGCCACACUGGAACUGAGACACGGUCCAGACUCCUACGGGAGGCAGCAGUAGGGAAUCUUCCGCAAUGGGCGAAAGCCUGACGGAGCAACGCCGCGUGAGUGAUGAAGGUCUUCGGAUCGUAAAACUCUGUUAUUAGGGAAGAACAUAUGUGUAAGUAACUGUGCACAUCUUGACGGUACCUAAUCAGAAAGCCACGGCUAACUACGUG
rnacentral:rRNA from 1 species